UCCGAAUUGGUGUAGUGGCUAACAUUUGACGCUCUCACCUUUCACCCUCGGGGUUUAAGAUUGGGCACCGUCAAGCCCGGGGUUCGAUUCCCCGAUUCGGAG